AAAAAAGAUGCUUUUCAUGAAUUUAAAACAAGUCUGUAAUAUUCAUUACCAAGCUUAGCCUGUUACUCAUUAUGGAGAGGGAGGCAUGGGAUGGGAAUGGGGGCAGGGAUGGUACCCAGAAGACUGCAAUUCCUUUUCUCCUGGAUGUGGUUAAAGAAAAACACUCCAGUUCUCUGGCUUCCUUGAGGGGGCAAUUGUCCGUGGACACCUGGUUGUAGACCCUGGUGCUUGCUGGGGUGCUAAUCUGCCCCUUCUCCUGUUCUGCAUGUUCUUCCCCUGUUCUUCAUUCUUCCCUAUCUGGGUACAGUGUCCUAUCCUAGACAGUGGGGUGGGGAAUGUGGAACACAGAGGGAGGAGGUGACCCUGCAUUUACGAGGAUGGAAGGUUGAUUCCUGUAUCUGGGCGGACAUAAGGGCCUUUACCUGGCCAUCUCACGCUGAUCCUAACUGACUUCACUGCUGUUUCUGUUACGCACCCAUUGGCACUACAGUAAUGCCUUGUUUCUCUGAGCUGGUGGAAGCUAACCAGUCAUCUUGGUCAAAUGUCAAAAGGUUAACUGCCUGAAUUUUAUAGGCAAUUGCCAGAAAAAGCAUCCUCAGAAUCAAUGUCCCUGGCUUUGAAUAAUUUCCAGGUGACACAUCAUGUACCUCUAAAAAUCAAAUUAAUAUUUGGAAAUGGUCAUUAAGAACCAAGAUUGAGGAAUAAAGUGGAGAGGCAUUUGGGUUGAAAACUCUACUCGGUUAUUUCAUCAUAAGGUUCCCAUUCUCGUCUGGCUUCUAAACAGGUUCUGAAAAUCGAUUCAAAAGGGCAGAUAAUUUUGGAGCAAUGAAAGCCCAUUUGGG
rnacentral:lncRNA from 10 species